AAAAAAAAAAAAAAAAAAACCUUUAUUGUUGUGAUACACAAUUUGGGCUGCAUGAGAUUUAUGCAAGCAAUCAUUCUGUGUAUUUUUUUUUUCCUGUGGAUAAUACUGCAACUUCUAUUGCUGAGGAGUUGGCUUGAGUAUAAGCUGCUUCAGACAUCCAUGGUUUGCUCGAGUGUGAGCUGCUUCAGAGUUCAGACAUCCAUGGUCUCAAGUUUUCUACUUCUUGACUUUUGUGAAUUAGUUUUCAAUUAAUGUGUUCUAUUAUCAAGUCUAUUAGAAGAUGGCCAAGCUCUUUGUGAUUUCAUUCAUACUAAUUUUUUUGGUCAAUUUUGAUUAAAGAAAAAGUUCUCCUUUCAUGUGGAAUUGUCAGGUGAGCAGUUUUUCUGGAAUACUCAACCUAAAUAGCUGUCUAUUAGACAUCUAGUGUCAUUAGCCUCAGACUUACAUUAGGCAUAGCAAUUAAGGUGAAUUGCACUACAGAGCACUCAGUUUUAAUGGCUAUUGAAGUCUCCAAGUUGAUCUUAGUUGAAUUGCAAAUGUUAUUUGUGUUUUUUAAUGGUAUAGAGACCUCCCAGUUUUGAUAAUAUAGCACUCCAUACUUAAGUUGUAUGCUUUGUCUUUUAAAAGCCAAGAAAAUGAGAUUGAUGGAUAACUGCUGCUGCCUGUGUCCAAAAAAAAAAAAAAAAG
rnacentral:misc_RNA from 1 species